AAUGACUGGGGUGGGACCUCUUUGAUUAUGCUGGCUGCUUUUCUUAGGCAGCGUGAAGUGGAUAUGGAGUCAAUGGUGCUCAGUGCUG